UACGGGGGGGGCAAGCGUUGUUCGGAAUUACUGGGCGUAAAGGGCUCGUAGGUGGCCAACUAAGUCACACGUGAAAUCCCUCGGCUUAACCGGGGAACUGCGUUUGAUACUGGAUGGCUUGAGUUUGGGAGAGGGACGCGGAAUUCCAGGUGUAGCGGUGAAAUGCGUAGAUAUCUGGAGGAACACCGGUGGCGACGGCGGAUCUCUGGGCCAUUACUGACGCUGAGGAGCGAAAGCGUGGGGAGCGAACAGG
rnacentral:rRNA from 1 species